AGCAGAGGGGGAAACAUUUUAAUGGUAUUUCAUGACAAGCUGGCUAUGCUGACUUACAUAUUUAUUUUGCCCUCUACUUGCUCCCUCCAGAAACCAAAGGUGAUUUGGCCAUGUCCUUACAAUGAAGGAGCUGUGAGUUGCUAUCCCAAGAUCCCUCUUUCAGUGGUGAAAUAAAAUUGUUUGUGAUGUCUCUUAACAUCUCCUUUCUAGGAGAGAGUUAAAACAGAAGAAGAAAAAUCUGAAGCCUUGUCAUGUUAGCAAAAUGCAUCUUGCAAGGGAUGUAACUGGGCUGCUGGAAUGGUGCUCUGAUUCUCGAAUAGCCAAGGUGUGCUCAUGGAGACCUUUUACUCCUUCCUCUUCUUUGUUAGCAUAGAUAGAAGCAGACUACCUUAGAAACAAACUACUGUAUCCUGUGCAAUUGAUAAGCCACAAGGAUAGCUCUCAGAAUGAAAAGAUCUCAUUUCCCUUGUUUGAGAUAUGACCAGUGCUUGUGAAGUAUUUGCAAGAAUAAUUCGACAUUAGUCCAAAUAUUUUAUUCUUGAAUAGAACUAUAAGAUCUCUGUAGAUUUUUCAAAUGUUUCUACCACUGUAGUUAAUUACCUUUUUGCAAGGUAAUUUUUUUUUCGUGAAUUGUUUGUUUGACAGUGGUAUUGUGUUAGCAAACUUCUAGUUGGGCAAGCCCUAAAUUUUUGUGCAACUUAAAGAAAUGCAAAAGAAAAAAUUAUGAUUGAGCAAAUGCUGUCUUGUAGAAUGCAACCCCCAAACAUCACAAAAGUUAAUUUACCUGUAUUCAUUAACUCUUAGGAUUCAGACUGCUAGUUAAUGUAAUUUCUAGUACCUGUGUCUGAUGCAAUGAGCUGAAAUGUUCAAUUUUUUAUGGCGCUGUUAAUGCUAUGCCACACCCCAAGUCUCUCAGAAAAGAAUUGUAUUAACUUGGUUCUGCAGAAAUGUAGUUGAGGUCUGGUAAACUGUGGUUCCUUGAAAUAUUUGAACCGUGAUCCUGGGAGAUAAAAGACUAAGGUAAUAUGUAACUUAAACAGAAGUUUAUCUACAGAUUCUUCAAAGCAAAAUAACCUUUCCCUUUCAACUUUCUAAAAUACUACUGGUUGAAACAGAAUUCUAAACUAAUAUACUUCACUCUCAUUGUUUUUACAUUCCAUUUAACAAUCAGCACCUUAAUGCUUUUCUAGAGUAAGUUGCUGCAUAAUGGUAAAUAAUCUAAAUUUAUAGUUAUAUAAACUCCAUAUAGCUACACAGUUGCUAUGAAAUGUCUUUAUAUGUGAACAGUGGAAGCAUAGAAAAAAUCGAACUUCCUUUAAAACUGAAAAUCCCAAUGAGAAACAAAAUAUAAAAGUUCAGAGUAAAUUCAUCAUUAAUAAAAUAAAAUUUUAUACCUAGAUCAGAGGUGAAACUGUUACACAGGUAAAAAUUAUAAAAUACCUAUUUAAAUUAAUAUCUAUGUAUUUCCAGUUUAAUAUAUUCAUAUGAGGGCAAUAUUAAAGCAUCAUUUAAUUAUCUAUCCUUUAAGUCUUCUGAGAUUCAGGAAAAAAAUCACACUAAUGAAUAAAAAGCAAAAAAGAUUAUAACCAUCAGUCAUUUGCAUAAUUCAAUUUUCUAGCAGCACAUGAUUCAGUUACUAGGGAGAUUAAUAAAGAAAAUAUAGAUUCCCCAUCCCCACCCCAAAAAAUACUUUUGAAUACCAUGGGAACAUCUCUGUAGUUAACACUUCACAUUUUUUAACAAAAAUUUAGACAGUACUGGACAAUUGCUUGUGAAUUUCAAGUCCUAAUCUUCUAGCCAUUUCUCUCUGUUAACAUGGUAAUAUAAGUAAAUACCAAGUCUCUGAAUCUGUGUGUUCUUAAUGUGAAAUCUUAAUAAUCAAGAGCCUAAACCAGUCCUCCUAGCUCAAGGCAACUGCAAUAUAAUUGAAUAUUUAAAAGCAAUUCAAUUGGGGGAAAAACAUAGCAAAGAAAAAAAAAAAAAGAAAAUUCAAAUAAUAAUGUUUUAAAGUCUUUUCCUUUAAUGUUUUCUCUUUGCAAUGUUCUGACAUACAUUCAUGAUCCCCAGCUCUCAGAAGAGUCACUUUGUGACUCUUUGGUUAAAGUCAACCAAUAAAACCCAGAAGUGGCUUUUAAUGCUUUAUGUUUGAAAGUAAUUGGUCAGCAGUUUAAAUAAUUUAUAUAAUUGGUCAACUGGUCAACUGGUUUAAAAUUCCAACAUAUAUAUUUAAGAGAAAGAUGAUUGUCAGUUAAAAAUCCUACCACUCAAAAGGGACUACAUUGCCACAAGGAAUCACAGGUUUGAUUCAGCUCUAAAAUAGUUCCAUGUGUAUAAGUUAUGAUUGAGUCAAAGUUGUAAUAUUAGAUGUAGAGCUAAAUUAUCUGCUGCAAGCCGUUUGCAUGAUUUUUAUAAACAAGUUUUCAGAAAUGCUUUGAUUACCCACUUCAGCUGCCUUUUGAGUAAUCCAAAAUACUACCUUUCUGUAGAAAAGUUAUGCACCUAAAAUGGUGAAAAUUUGAAAAUUACUUUGCUGUGCUGUUCCAAGUGGGCUUACAAAAUGUCAAUGAUGAUGCUAUUUCCAAACCAAAGAAAAGAAAAAAACCUGAAUUCAACCCUCUUUUUCUUUUUUUCUGAAGCAUCACUGCUGUAACUCCAUGCAUUUGUUUUUACUGUUGUGAUUCAUCCAUGAAUAUGCUAUUUUUCUCCAUGCUGGGGUACUCUUCAGUAGUCUGUAUUUGGGACAGAGGCAGCAAAAUAAAAUGGGUUAUAUUUAGAUGUUUGUUAAA